rnacentral:lncRNA from 1 species
CUCAUUAUCUCAUUCUCUCUCUCCCACUUUCUCACUCUCAUUCUCUCACACUCUCGACCUACAUUUUUCCGAUGAUAAAAAGCAAUUUUUCAACAAGCUUAAAACAGUAAUUCGGUGAGCUUGAUUUUAAAAAUAGCCAAAGGUACGGCAACAUAAUCACCACAAGGUUCAAGCCAAGCACCUCAAUGCUACCACCAUGACCGAACAAUAUUAUGGAACUCGGUAAAUUUUAAGAUUAUUUUUUUUGUUCUUUUAAAUAUAUUUUUGUGUUUUUUUUAUAACUAUGAGUUAAAUGAGAAUUUGUCAAUACUAACGUACAUGAGAAUCAGUUUUUAGUUUUAGCUAAAAUUACAAUGGACAUUUUAGUAUUUCCUACUUCUACAAUUGCAUCCGAGUCCUUUUUUAGGGUCGUAAUAAAAGAUCAAGUCUUGCCCCAGACAUCGUAAAUAUAUUAGUUUGAAAUAAGAUUGGGAUCAAGUUACAAAAAGACAACAAAAAAGAAAAGAAGAUGACUCGGAAGAAAAGGAAGAUGUUUGGAUGAUAAUGGAUAUUUCAUCGGAAUUGGGCUGCCUGAACAAGAAUAUUUUUGUUUUGUAUUUGUAUAACUCGAAUAGUGGAUAGAUAGAAUAUUUUUGUUUUGUAUUUUUAAAUUUUGUUUGAUUGAUAUUUUGUUUUAAAGUAUAUGCGUUUUCUUCCAUCUUUCAGAGAGGAGUUCUCUCAAAUUAUUUGUAAUUUUUCCAAAAUUAAUAGAGGUAUCGUCCUCUUUUAUUUAUUACAUAAAAAAUUAAUAAAAACUAAUUAAUAUCCGUUUUAUUUAUUACAUAAUAAAUUUAUAAAACUAAUUAAUAUAUAGUUAUAUUCACAGUAUUUAAAGAAAAAUUGUAAAUCGCUCAACUCGCCCAACUCGUCUAGUUAUACGCGAGUAGAGCUAAUCCGGACUCGUCUCGCUUCAGCUCUUCUCGCCAAAAACUCGUCUCGGCUCGUCAAAUGCAUCAUGUCUGGCUACGUCUACUUUGAUGUUUGUUUAUAUCUGGUCUCGAAACGAUCCGAGGCUGAACUUUUAAAACUCAGUUGGAUAUCAAACAAGAAUUUCUACUAAUCUGAAAGACGACAUGAAACUCGAAAUCAAAGUGUUACUAAUUUUUCUCUCCUUGAUUUAGCCUCUUGUUGGACAUUUAUAAUCAAUUUGUGAGUUCUUGUUCGGCCUUAAUAUUGAUCUUCUCCUUGUAUUUUUGAAUAGUAUGUCUUUGUAUGUCAAAUCUGAAGACAAAGGGGAUAUUUUCAAUCAAAACUUGACGGUAAAAACUAGCAGCUUUUUCGUGCUAAGUUUUCAUAGGACUAGACACAAAUUGACAUGGCUAUUAUGUCAAACUGGAUUAUAGGUUGAUAAAUGAGCAAAAAAGAAUAUAUUGAAUGGCCUUACUAGCUAACUGAAAAAACCAGAUUGCAAUAAGUUGCGGUACAAGCUACAAACCAAACUACUAGCAAUACUUAAGAAUCUUUUUCUCAAUACAUCAAAUAUAGAGACUUGGAUUCUGAUUUAUGCAUCUGAAACAACAAACUGAAGCAUGCAUAUCGAUGAUCUCCGUCUUCCUUUCCGUUCCCUGAAUCUAAAAUAGGCAGCAACAUCGCUGCAAAAGGAUAAACACAGAUCAAACAUAUGAAUUAGAGGUUCAUUUAAAAGUUUAUUGUACAACUUAAGCACUUGUUAACACAUACUCAUAGUACUAUAGUAGUAUACUCCCUCUGUCCCAACUAUUUUUUUUACAGUUUCCUUUUUGGGAUGUGCCCAAACCAAAUGUAAAGAAUUGACUAGGACGGAGGGAGUACAAAUUAAUGAUAUAUAUAUUACAUGUUUCGAGCUGGACUGCAAAAUAUGAAUCGAAUUGGAAUAAUACCUUUGAUCUGGUAUCUUUGGUCUGAGUGUUUGGCAUAUUGGCAGGUUGAUUAGGAACUAUAGGAAAUUUGGAGGCUGCUAUUUGUUUCUCUUCUUUGACUUUAUUGAAAAUUACAGUGAAUCCGUCUCCUGAUGUAGGGUCUCGUUCAUCCCAUUGCCCGAACAUGGGUACUGAUGCUGAUCUAGUGGACUGGAUUCCGGAAAAAAGUUUAAAGAUUAAAAGGAAUGAAAAUAGAUAAUCAACAAGAAGAAGUCUGGCUCUGUUGUUAAAAUUUGAACAAGUUAAAAAGAGAAGGGAAUUUUUGCUUACAAAAUCAUCGUACAGAUUAUGUCCGUUUCUCAGUCUGUUAGGCCCUGGCGAAGGAGGAUAGAAACUAAUAUUGUCAAUGCUGUUUUUCUUCCUUUCAGUUCUUGCAAUCCGGUGAUUGGAUGGAAGGCUUGAAUUAGAAUUGCUUCUGUCACUGCUAGUUUCCGACGUAACACUCUUCACACCAUUCUUAUAAUUUUGACCACUACCACUACUACUUCUCUUAAGGCUCCCUUUGUUUCCUUCACUGUGGUGAUUUUCCUUUGGUGCCUCUAUAUCAUUACUAAUGUUGUGUUGAAGAGGAGCCUGGAAGACUUUAACGUCAUCGUCACUUCCAAACAUAAAGGCCUCCGGAUUCUGCUCUGGAUCAUUUGGAUUGAUCAUUGCACCUCCAGCUUUGCUCUUGCGUGCACUAUCAAAGUAAGCUGUGUACGGUACAUUAUCUUCGCCACCCCAGUUGCCAAAUUUCGGAACAUGGGCACUUUUCUGAACAGGCAACCAAAUUCAAAAUCUAUUAGACUUUCAAAUUAUUGAGACAAAAUUAAAUAGUUCACAGGGAUUUAUCUAAUGCAGCCAAUAAUAUGCAAAAUACUAGCGAAAAAAGAUUUAAAUUCAAGAAUAACCAGGUGAAGUGUGUUCUGAGUCAUUCAUAUCGAGAAAUAAACAUGCGAUCAAGCUAUUUUAAUAAAUAGUGAAGAGCCUGUACGCGUAAACUAAUGAAUAAGGCUAUCGAUGAAGAGAAAACUUACAGCCAUUGCAGAGAAAAGUUCUAGUCUUUCUGAAACAAACUAUGAGCAUGAAAGUUGAAGAAAGAACAUGCAGGAAAUCUAAUCGGUGAAGUUCGAUUAUAUCAGAGAUCCCAAUGAAUCGAUGAUAGCAACGUUCUGGAGAAUGAACACUAGCUAACAAACACAGAAGUAACAGAACAAAAAAUAGCAUUUUCUCUUUUCUCUUUGUCUAACAUGAAAAAAUAUUCUAUCUGGAGUAUAUUAAAAGUCUAGGAUCUGCCAUUUGUUUUGCAUUUUGUCACUCCCUG